AUGGAGGAACUGAAGAGCGCUCUCGGGAAUCACGGCCUGACCAUUUCGAAUCUUCCGGAGAAAGGCCGUUGCAUUCUCGCCACGAAAGACUUCAAUCCAGGAGAAGUGAUCAUACGCGUAGACCCCUAUGUGUGCGUCCCGGACAGCUCCGUUACUGAGCACUACUGCGAUGUUUGUUUCAAAUCCACUAACCUCAAGAAGUGCUCCGGUUGCAAGACUGUACUACUGGUCUAGCACAUGCCAGAAGGCGGAAUGGAAACUCCACCGUCUCGAAUGUGAAGCUUCGAGGAAGCUUCCGAUACAGUUCAUUGGUCAAAUUGCGCCACCGAUUCGUCUCAACAUCAGACUCCUACUUCGUUCUAAGUUAGAAUCUCAGAAGAUUAUUCCUGUUUCUGCUAUGGACAACUACAAUUUGGUGAAGGCUUUGGUGGCUCACAUGUCGAAGAUUGAUGAGGAGAAAAGGAGGAUGUAUGUUGAUCUGGUUAAUCUUGUCAACUUGAUACUGCCAGAUAUCAAUAGAAAGGAGGCUGUAAAGAACUUCUCCAAGAUAGCAUUCAACAACCAAGCAAUUAAUGCCGGGGGAUCUAAGCACGUGGGUAGAGGACUCUAUCCUGUGAUUUCAUUCAUGAACCACAGCUGCUUGCCUAAUUGUAUUGUACUAAAUGAGGGAAGGACAGCUGUUGUUCGUGCUGUGCAACAUAUACCCAAAGGAGCUGAGGUGUUGAUAAGUUACAUCGACACUGCUGAAAGCACUGUGACUCGGCAAAAGAAGCUGAAGGAGGGAUACCUUUUUACCUGCACAUGUCCCCGCUGCAUUAAAGUGUAUGAUAUCCAUGAAAGUGCAGUUCUGGAAGGCUACCGAUGUACGGAUAAUGAAUGCGAUGGCCUCUUGCUUUGCGACUCUGAUGAUAAUGGAUUCAUAUGUUAACAAUGCGGACGUCUUAAGAGCAAAGACGAGAUAAGUGAGAUGGAAAGUGAAAUUAAAUCAUUGCAGGAAAAGGCUCUUAAGGCUGAACAGUCUGCAUCUUACCAGGAACUGAUUGCUAUUUAUAAGGCAAUCGAGACACUCCAGCGGAAACUGUUUAAUCCUUGCUGCAUCUGUUUUCUAGAUACUUGGAAGAAGAUUUCAGUGAAUUCAAUGAAGCUGGACGACUGGAGUGAAGCUCUUGCAUAUUGCAGAUUGUCCAUUGCACUGUUUCAAAGAGUAUAUCCAGGCUAUCAUCCUUUACUUGGAUUGCAUCACUACACCUGUGGGAAGCUUGAAAUGAUACUUGGAGAGGACGAGAAUGUUGUGAAAUCUCUGACCAAGGCAGCCGAUAUACUGCAGAUUGCUUAUGGGACAAGUACCCCCUUCAUGAAGGAUCUUUUCAGGUCAUUGAAGGAGCAACAUGUGUGGAACUCGCGUCAAAAGGCACGGAGGAUAGCUAGGGGCUAG